rnacentral:rRNA from 1 species
UGGGGAAUAUUGCACAAUGGGGGAAACCCUGAUGCAGCGACGCCGCGUGGAGGAAGAAGGUCUUCGGAUUGUAAACUCCUGUUGUUGAGGAAGAUAAUGACGGUACUCAACAAGGAAGUGACGGCUAACUACGUGCCAGCAGCCGCGGUAAAACGUAGGUCACAAGCGUUGUCCGGAAUUACUGGGUGUAAAGGGAGCGCAGGCGGGAAGACAAGUUGGAAGUGAAAUCCAUGGGCUCAACCCAUGAACUGCGUUCAAAACUGUUUUUCUUGAGUAGUGCAGAGGUAGGCGGAAUUCCCGGUGUAGCGGUGGAAUGCGUAGAUAUCGGGAGGAACACCAGUGGCGAAGGCGGCCUACUGGGCACCAACUGACGCUGAGGCUCGAAAGUGUGGGUAGCAAACAGGAUUAGAUACCCUGGUAGUCCACACCGUAAACGAUGAUUACUAGGUGUUGGAGGAUUGACCCCUUCAGUGCCGCAGUUAACACAAUAAGUAAUCCACCUGGGGAGUACGACCGCAAGGUUGAAACUCAAAGGAAUUGACGGGGGCCCGCACAAGCAGUGGAGUAUGUGGUUUAAUUCGACGCAACGCGAAGAACCUUACCAAGUCUUGACAUCCCUUGACAGGCAUAGAAAUAUGUUUUCUCUUCGGAGCAAGGAGACAGGUGGUGCAUGGUUGUCGUCAGCUCGUGUCGUGAGAUGUUGGGUUAAGUCCCGCAACGAGCGCAACCCUUAUGGUCAGUUACUACGCAAGAGGACUCUGGCCAGACUGCCGUUGACAAAACGGAGGAAGGUGGGGAUGACGUCAAAUCAUCAUGCCCCUUAUGACCUGGGCUACACACGUACUACAAUGGCCAUUAACAAAGGGAAGCAAGACCGCGAGGUGGAGCAAAUCCCAAAAAAUGGUCUCAGUUCAGAUUGCAGGCUGCAACCCGCCUGCAUGAAGUCGGAAUUGCUAGUAAUCGCGGAUCAGCAUGCCGCGGUGAAUACGUUCCC